rnacentral:rRNA from 1 species
UACGUAGGAUGCAAGCGUUGUCCGGAAUUAUUGGGCGUAAAGAGCGCGCAGGCGGUCUGCCAAGUCAGAUGUGAAAGAGGCCGGCUUAACCGGCAAGGGUCAUUUGAAACUGACAGACUAGAGGACCGGAGAGGAUAGUGGAAUUCCCAGUGUAGUGGUGAAAUACGUAGAGAUUGGGAAGAACACCAGUGGCGAAGGCGGCUAUCUGGACGGUUUCUGACGCUAAGACGCGAAAGCGUGGGGAGCAAACAGG